rnacentral:rRNA from 1 species
GACUAACGCUGGCGGCGUGCCUAACACAUGCAAGUCGUACGAGAAAGUCCCGUUCGCGGGAUGAGUAAAGUGGCGAACGGGUGAGUAACGCGUUGGUGACCUGCCCCGAAGCGAGGGAUAACAGUUCGAAAGAACUGCUAAUACCUCAUGUGAUCACCGGUUUUAGAAUCUGGUGAUUAAAGGUGAAAAUCACUUCGGGAGGGGCCUGCGUCCCAUCAGCUAGUUGGUAAGGUAAUGGCUUACCAAGGCGACGAUCCGUAGCGGGUCUGAGAGGAUGAUCCGCCACACUGGGACUGAGACACGGCCCAGACUCCUACGGGAGGCAGCAGUGGGGAAUUUUGGACAAUGGGCGCAAGCCUGAUCCAGCCAUGCCGCGUGAGUGAAGAAGGCCUUCGGGUUGUAAAGCUCUUUCGGCGGGGAAGAAAUUGCACUGGCUAAUACCGAGUGUAGAUGACGGUACCCGCAUAAGAAGCACCGGCUAACUACGUG